UUAAAGGUGGCCUUUGUGCUGCCGCAGAUGGAUGAGCCUGCGUUGGAUUAGCUAGUUGGUGGGGUAAGGGCCUACCAAGGCUACGAUCCAUAGCUGAUUUGAGAGGAUGAUCAGCCACAUUGGGACUGAGACACGGCCCAAACUCCUACGGGAGGCAGCAG
rnacentral:rRNA from 1 species